rnacentral:rRNA from 1 species
UGGUGGAGUGAUUUGUCUGGUUAAUUCCGUUAACGAACGAGACCUCAGCCUGCUAAAUAGUCCGGCAAACACUUCUAGUGUUUGUUCCGGAGCUUCUUAGAGGGACUGUCUGAUAUGCAGCAGAAAGAAGUGUGAGGCAAUAACA